UACAGGGGGUGCGAGCGUUGUCCGGAAUCACUGGGCGUAAAGGGCGCGUAGGUGGCGUGAUAAGGGUGUGGUGAAAGCCCGGGGCUCAACCCCGGGUCUGCCAUGCCGACUGUCAGGCUGGAGUACUGUAGGGGCAGGCGGAAUUCCGGGUGUAGCGGUGGAAUGCGUAGAUAUCUGGAGGAACACCGGUGGCGAAGGCGGCAUCCUGGACCAACACUGACGCUGAGGAGCGAAAGCCAGGGGAGCAAACGGG
rnacentral:rRNA from 1 species